UCCUACGGGAGGCAGCAGUGGGGAAUAUUGGACAAUGGGGGGAACCCUGAUCCAGCCAUGCCGCGUGUGUGAAGAAGGCCUUUUGGUUGUAAAGCACUUUAAGCGAGGAGGAGGCUACCUAGAUUAAUACUCUGGGAUAGUGGACGUUACUCGCAGAAUAAGCACCGGCUAACUCUGUGCCAGCAGCCGCGGUAAUACAGAGGGUGCAAGCGUUAAUCGGAUUUACUGGGCGUAAAGCGUGCGUAGGUGGCCAAUUAAGUCAAAUGUGAAAUCCCUGAGCUUAACUUAGGAAUUGCAUUCGAUACUGGUUGGCUAGAGUAUGGGAGAGGAUGGUAGAAUUCCAGGUGUAGCGGUGAAAUGCGUAGAGAUCUGGAGGAAUACCGAUGGCGAAGGCAGCCAUCUGGCCUAAUACUGACACUGAGGUACGAAAGCAUGGGGAGCAAACAGGAUUAGAUACCCUGGUAGUCC
rnacentral:rRNA from 1 species